GGAUGUGAGGGUGAUCUGGCUGUGACAUAUGUCACCCCAUUGAUCACCAGGUUUGAGUUGGCUGAUCUGGCUGGCUAGGCGGGUGUCCCCUUCCUCCCUCACCACUCCAUGUGCGUUCCUCCCGAAGCUGUGCACACAGUUGAAGAGGACGACCUUCCCCGAUAGGAGGACCUUCCUUCGGUCAAGGUUAUACGAGUAGCUGAGCUCCCCUGCUAGAACCUCCAAACAAGUCUCAAGAAGUGAGCCCUAAAUCCAGCCAAGAGUUUUCCGAUUGUUUAGGAAAGACACAUUGCAGCUCUCAAAGCUAAAUAUUUUUGUGUGUGAAACAAUAGACAAGAACGUGACCUUCAAAAAGAUCUAUUCUGGAUGCUCAC
rnacentral:snRNA from 1 species